UACAGAGGGUGCAAGCGUUGUUCGGAAUCAUUGGGCGUAAAGGGCGUGUAGGCGGUUUGUUAAGUCAUGUGUGAAAUCCCUCGGCUCAACCGGGGAACGACGCAUGAAACUGGCAAGCUAGAGUACCAAAGAGGGUGGUGGAAUUCCCGGUGUAGCGGUGAAAUGCAUAGAUAUCGUCAAGAACACCGAUAGCGAAGGCAGCUUACCAAGCUGUAACUGACGCUGAGGCACGAAAGUGUGGGGAUCAAACAGG
rnacentral:rRNA from 1 species